rnacentral:rRNA from 1 species
UACAGAGGUCUCAAGCGUUGUUCGGAUUCAUUGGGCGUAAAGGGUGCGUAGGUGGCGCCGUAAGUCAGGUGUGAAAUUUCGGAGCUUAACUCCGAAACUGCAUUUGAUACUGCGGUGCUUUGAGGACUGGAGAGGAGACUGGAAUUUACGGUGUAGCAGUGAAAUGCGUAGAUAUCGUAAGGAAGACCAGUGGCGAAGGCGGGUCUCUGGACAG